rnacentral:lncRNA from 13 species
CCUUUGAAAAAUAUUUACCUUUGGCCAUUGAGGCAGCUCAUCUAAAGACAGAGAUUAUAAAAUUAUGUCUUCCUUCCAGGCCAGGGAAACUUGGAGAGAGAGGCGGUGACAGCACCGUGAGGUGACCAGCAGCUGGAAACCUAAUGGAACAGAACACCGUCCAUCCCCAGGAGAUGCGUGCAACCGCUCUGUGAUUUUACAACCACAGCAGACUUGUCCUGUGAAUGUCCCUUGUGGGUGGUUCAGCAAUCCCAGUUGAGAGGCAGCCAUGUAGAAACCAGGCCAGCCUUGCAGGGACGUGAGUCACUUCUGGUAAGAAGUGUCCAUCAGGGACACUGCUGCCCUGCAGACCUGCCAAGGAGUGAGGGAUAACGUUCUCCAAACAUUGCUGUUUCUGCAUACAUCUUUGUUACAAGGCAGUGGCAGACUGCUGCAGAGUACAAAGGAACGGCAAAGCUAAAAUGGACCAUUUUCUAAAAACAAUGACAUCAAUCUGAUUCUUCACAGCGUAGAGGUACAGAAGAACAAAUACGUAACCAUGCAGGCUUCCUGGUAUCUGUUGUUCAUUUCUGUUUUUGUGUUCGCAUUCUGUCCUCUGUACUGUAAACUCCCUGAGGGUGGGUCCAUACUCAGACGCUGAUGACACUCCCAACGGAGGUGCCAAGGUGCUGAGGACAUCUUGGUCAAGACUCAUCAACGUUCCUCCAGACAACCGGGCUCAGAAUUGCAAUGAGCGAGGAUCUCUGUUACUCAGGCUGGAGUGCAGUAGAACAAUCACGAUUCACUGCAGACUCAACCUCCUGGUGAUCUUCCCAUUUCCGCCUCCAGAGUAGCUGGGACUAGAGGUGGGCAACAGGAUGCCCAGCAAAUUUUCUGUAGAGAUGGGAUCUCACUAUGUUGUACAGCCUGGUCUUGAGCUCCUGGGCUGAAGCUAUCCCAAGCCAUGGGGGGCCAUUAUUCUAACAUACUGACCCAAACCGCCUGUGAUACUGAAGCUGGGCAGCAUAUCUGAGCCGCCUGAGCUUAAAUACAGGAAUAAACUUGCCUCUGAAACCCA